rnacentral:rRNA from 1 species
AUUGAACGCUGGCGGCAUGCCUAACACAUGCAAGUCGAGCGGAGCGGCGGACGGGUGAGUAAUGCCUAGUAAUUUGCCUGGUAGUGGGGGAUAACGCAUGGAAACGGGAGCUAAUACCGCAUAAUAUCAGAUGAGCCUAGGUGGGAUUAGCUAGUUGGUGGGGUAAAGGCUUACCAAGGCGAAGAUCCGAAACUGGUCUGAGAGGAUGAUCAGUCACACUGGAACUGAGACACGGUCCAGACUCCUACGGGAGGCAGCAGUAGGGAAUAUUCGACAAUGGGCGAAAGUCUGAUCGAGCCAUGCCGCGUGAGUGAAGAAGGUCUUCGGAUUGUAAAACACUGUUGGUAGGGAAGCGGUACCAACAGAGUAAGCACCGGCUAACUCCGUGCCAGCAGCCGCGGUAAUUC